rnacentral:pre_miRNA from 1 species
UCUCAUGGAUGAGCAACGAAGGUGGUUUCUUGAGAUGGAAUCUAUUCCUGGUGAAGGUGCUGUGAA